rnacentral:rRNA from 1 species
GACGAACGCUGGCGGCGUGCUUAACACAUACAAGUCGAACGGUGAAAGCGGAGCUUGCUCCGCUGGAUCAGUGGCGAACGGGUGAGUAACACGUGGGCAACCUGCCCCUCACUUCGGGAUAACUCCGGGAAACCGGGGCUAAUACCGGAUAUGACCUCCUUGGGCAUCCUUGGAGGUGGAAAGAUUUUCGGUGGGGGAUGGGCCCGCGGCCUAUCAGCUUGUUGGUGAGGUAGUGGCUCACCAAGGCGACGACGGGUAGCCGGCCUGAGAGGGCGACCGGCCACACUGGGACUGAGACACGGCCCAGACUCCUACGGGAGGCAGCAGUGGGGAAUAUUGCGCAAUGGGCGAAAGCCUGACGCAGCAACGCCGCGUGCGGGAUGACGGCCUUCGGGUUGUAAACCGCUUUCAGCAGGGAAGAAGCCGCAAGGUGACGGUACCUGCAGAAGAAGCACCGGCUAACUACGUGCCAGCAGCCGCUGUAA